rnacentral:rRNA from 1 species
ACUCCUACGGGAGGCAGCAGUGAGGAAUAUUGGACAAUGGGUGGAAGCCUGAUCCAGCCAUCCCGCGUGCAGGAAGACGGCCCUAUGGGUUGUAAACUGCUUUUAUCUGGGGAUAAACCUACUUACGUGUAAGUAGCUGAAGGUACCAGAAGAAUAAGCACCGGCUAACUCCGUGCCAGCAGCCGCGGUAAUACGGAGGGUGCAAGCGUUAUCCGGAUUUAUUGGGUUUAAAGGGUCCGUAGGCGGACUGAUAAGUCAGUGGUGAAAUCCGACAGCUUAACUGUCGAACUGCCAUUGAUACUGUUAGUCUUGAGUAAGGUUGAAGUGGCUGGAAUAAGUAGUGUAGCGGUGAAAUGCAUAGAUAUUACUUAGAACACCAAUUGCGAAGGCAGGUCACUAAGUCUUAACUGACGCUGAUGGACGAAAGCGUGGGGAGCGAACAGGAUUAGAAACCCGUGUAGUCCCA